rnacentral:rRNA from 1 species
AUACGUAGGGGGCGAGCGUUGUCCGGAAUGAUUGGGCGUAAAGGGCGCGUAGGCGGCCCGGUAAGUCUGGAGUGAAAGUCCUGUUUUUAAGAUGGGAAUUGCUUUGGAUACUGUCGGGCUUGAGUGCAGGAGAGGUAAGUGGAAUUCCCAGUGUAGCGGUGAAAUGCGUAGAGAUUGGGAGGAACACCAGUGGCGAAGGCGACUUACUGGACUGUAACUGACGCUGAGGCGCGAAAGUGUGGGGAGCAAACAGGAUUAGUUACCCUGGUAGUCCACACUGUAAACGAUGAAUGCUAGGUGUAGGUGGUAUCGACCCCUUCUGUGCCGCAGUCAACACAAUAAGCAUUCCGCCUGGGGAGUACGGCCGCAAGGUUGAAACUCAAAGGAAUUGACGGGG